UCAUACUACGUUUCUUUUUCCUUCCCUCUUCUGCUCAUGUUAUUUUUUGUCUCUAUCCUCGUCAUCCUCUUCUUUUUUUAUAACCCGUUUCUUCUUCUUCCUCCUCCUUCUCUUGUUUCUUGUCUCUAUCCACGUCUUUCUUAUUACUCAUUCUUCUUUUACGAUUAUUGCGUUUUCCAGUUUCUCGCUCUUAACACCACCACCAUUACCACAACAAUCACCAUUAACACCUCCUCCUCCUCCUCCUCCUUCGCCUUUUGUUAUCCUGCGUCUCUGGAUCAGGUAGUGUAGUUUUUCAUAUACAAACAACUCCUUGAGGAUCAACGUAUGUACAUAUGCUUGCUCUUCCUUAGUAUUCCUUUGUGCUUCUCUUCCUCUUCCGCAACCAGGUCAAAGAAAAUGGGUAUACAUGUGAAUUAUCAAGAGGCAAGAGCGUGUAACUUCCUUUAACUUCCUUCCUGUCUUCACAUAUUCUGUAUUUUUUCUUCCUACUCCUCCUCUUUGUUCUCCCUUUCUCCUUAUUCUCUUAUUAAUUUGUAACCCUUAACUAACUAAAGGAGAUAGACAGCAGUGAUAUAAAAGGUUUAGAAGAAUGAAGACUAGUUUGGGUGAAAGGAUGAAAUACAGUAGUAGAGAUGAAAGAUGUCAGGCUGUACAGUCCUUCUCUUCAUUUCAUCUUAACUUGACUCUUCAUCUCUUCCUUCAGUGCCACAUUCAAUAUCUUCCACAUCUCGUACCCUUCCCUUUUCCUUCUUUUUCCUUACACCCUCCUUCACUCUUAAUCUCCUCUUCUCCCCUCCAUCUUAUCCUAACCCCCCCCUCUCUCUCUCUGCUCCUCAUCCAUCACCACUACCACACCACUGAGAUAAAAGUUUCCCCCUAACCGAGGAUAAGACGUGACGGGAACACUGAACAGCGACUCAACAUUGGCAACAUCCGUGCCGACACUCCACUCCACCGAUGGACGCGAAGGAAGAAGGGUCAAACGAGAUUGUAUAUAGAGACUGACUGUAUACCGGCAGCAAAGAUCAUGGCGCAUGAUUUGUGAGCAGAGAACUGUGGGAUUAUCUGGCAAGCAGUGGGAUAGUCUGCAGUAGGACUACAAGUUACAACGCUCAGAGCAACGGACAAGUCGAGCGCUACAAUGGUAUCAUCUGGAAGGCAGUAACAACUCUGCGGUCACGUGGCUGCCAGAACGGUGCUGGCAAAGUGUCCUGCCGGACGCUCUUCACUCGAUCCGUUCGUUGUUAUGCACAGCUACCAACGCCACUCCCCAUGAGCGUUUAUUCAACUACACACGUCGAUCAUCGUCAGGGACCGCCAUACCUGCCUGGUUGUGUAACCCAGGUCCUGUCCUGCUGAGGCGAUAUGUGCGGGCACGCAAGAGCGAUCCACUGGUGGAUGAGGUGGAAUUAAUUCAGGCUAACCCGCAGUAUGCUCAUGUUCGAUACCCCGACAGGAGAGAAGACAGUGGGGGGUGACUCUGACCUCCAAGUCGGGAGGGCCACUCGGACGCUGCUGGAUGCAGACCCACUACAUGAGGAAGCGACAAAUAUUAGCAAUCGUGGGCCUGACUCUACUACUUAUGAGGGGGACUGCCAUAAGUCGGAAACGCCAACUUCGCCUCAUUCAUAAGGGACACCGGCCACUUCAUAACGUUCUGAAACCAGCGGCGAACCAACAGAGCUGAGACGAUUCAAUCGCAUAAGGCGACCACCUAUUCGUUUUGCACCAUCAUAGUAUAUGUUAUUUUGUACAAAAGGGGGUGAUUGUGGUAAAAGAUGAUCAAGGGAUGACUGUACUUAUCAUUUGUAAUGAGUUGUUAAUGAGUGCUUAACGAAGUUAUUUCACACCCUGGUGGGCUAUCGUGCGGCCACUUCCACCAAGUCAGCCACAAGUCAGCCAGGUGUGUAUGUAGGUGUGUGUGUUUGUUUCCUUUACAUUGUAUUGUACUAUUACGGGAUUCUAUGGUUGUUUAUGGUUGUAAAUCGAUUAAUUUACUUUGUUCCAGAGUACCUGUUUUUGUGUCUAAUGAAAGCCUACUGAAACGGUCAGGUGUGUGUGCAUGAUUCACAUCACAGUGUCUUUAUUGCUGUAUUGUAAAACACUGCUUCAUGCUUCUAUGUGUAUCCUUAAAUUGAAUUAAAUCGUUUU